rnacentral:rRNA from 1 species
GCGGUAAUACGGAGGGGGCUAGCGUUGUUCGGAAUUACUGGGCGUAAAGCGCACGUAGGCGGCUUUACAAGUCAGGGGUGAAAGCCCGCGGCUCAACCGCGGAAUUGCCCUUGAGACUGUAUCGCUUGAACACGGGAGAGGUGAGUGGAAUUCCGAGUGUAGAGGUGAAAUUCGUAGAUAUUCGGAAGAACACCAGUGGCGAAGGCGGCUCACUGGACCGUAGUUGACGCUGAGGUGCGAAAGCGUGGGGAGCAAACAGGAUU